UAAUACGGAGGAUGCAAGCGUUAUCCGGAUUUAUUGGGUUUAAAGGGUACGUAGGCGGAAAAUUAAGUCAGUAGUGAAAUCCUGCAGCUUAACUGUAGAACUGUUAUUGAUACUGGUUUUCUUGAAUAUAGUUGAGGUAGGCGGAAUGUGUAAUGUAGCGGUGAAAUGCUUAGAUAUUACACAGAACACCGAUUGCGAAGGCAGCUUACUAAGCUAUGAUUGACGCUGAGGUACGAAAGCGUGGGGAGCGAACAGGAUUAGAUACCCUGGUAGUCCACGCCGUAAACGAUGAUCACUCGUUGUUGGCAAUACAUCGUCAGCGACUGAGCGAAAGCAUUAAGUGAUCCACCUGGGGAGUACGCUCGCAAGAGUG
rnacentral:rRNA from 1 species